GAUGAACGCUAGCGAUAGGCUUAACACAUGCAAGUCGAGGGGCAGCAUGGUCUUAGCUUGCUAAGACUGAUGGCGACCGGCGCACGGGUGCGUAACGCGUAUGCAACUUGCCUCACAGAGGGGGAUAACCCGUCGAAAGACGGACUAAUACCGCGUACACUCCAUCUUGGGCAUCCAAGGUAGAGGAAAUGAAAUUCGCUGUGAGAUAGGCAUGCGUCCCAUUAGCUAGUUGGUGAGGUAACGGCUCACCAAGGCGACGAUGGGUAGGGGAACUGAGAGGUGGAACCCCCACACUGGUACUGAGACACGGACCAGACUACUACGGGAGGCAGCAGUGAGGAAUAUUGGUCAAUGGGCGAGAGCCUGAACCAGCCAAGUCGCGUGAAGGAUGACUGUCUUAUGGAUUGUAAACUUCUUUUAUACGGGAAUAACAAGAGUCACGGGUGACUCCCUGCAUGUACCGUAUGAAUAAGCAUCGGCUAACUCCGUG
rnacentral:rRNA from 1 species